rnacentral:rRNA from 1 species
GACGAACGCUGGCGGCGUGCUUAACACAUGCAAGUCGAACGGAAAGGCCCUGCUUUUGUGGGGUGCUCGAGUGGCGAACGGGUGAGUAACACGUGAGUAACCUGCCCUUGACUUUGGGAUAACUUCAGGAAACUGGGGCUAAUACCGGAUAGGAGCUCCUGCUGCAUGGUGGGGGUUGGAAAGUUUCGGCGGUUGGGGAUGGACUCGCGGCUUAUCAGCUUGUUGGUGGGGUAGUGGCUUACCAAGGCUUUGACGGGUAGCCGGCCUGAGAGGGUGACCGGCCACAUUGGGACUGAGAUACGGCCCAGACUCCUACGGGAGGCAGCAGUGGGGAAUAUUGCACAAUGGGCGGAAGCCUGAUGCAGCAACGCCGCGUGCGGGAUGACGGCCUUCGGGUGGUAAACCGCUUUCGCAUGUGACGAAGCGUGAGUGACGGUAAUGGGUAAAGAAGCACCGGCUAACUACGUG